UAAUACGUAGGUGGCAAGCGUUGUCCGGAUUUAUUGGGUUUAAAGGGUGCGUAGGUGGUCUAUUAAGUCAGUGCUGAAAUAUCCCGGCUUAACCGGGAGGGUGGCAUUGAUACUGAUGGACUUGAGUAAAGUUGAGGUGGGCGGAAUUGACGGUGUAGCGGUGAAAUGCUUAGAUAUCGUCAAGAACACCUAUUGCGAAGGCAGCUCACUAAGCUUUAACUGACACUGAGGCACGAAAGUGUGGGGAUCAAACAGGAUUAGAUACCCUGGUAGUCCACACUGUAAACGUUGAUUACUCGAUGUUGGCGAUACACAGUCAGCGUCUUAGCGAAAGCGAUAAGUAAUCCACCUGGGGAGUACGCCGGCAACGGUG
rnacentral:rRNA from 1 species